rfam:Oryza glaberrima chromosome 7 Oglab07_0118_3, whole genome shotgun sequence.
AAUAAGUAUAGCUUUACACUAUUCAUGUUCAAUAUUUGAUCGUUCAUCUUAUUUAAAAUUUUUUAAUAAUUAUUAUUUUUAUUGCUAUUAGAUGAUAAAACAUGAAUAGUACUUUAUGUGUAACUAAAUAUUUUUAAAUUUUUCACAAAUUUUUCUAAUAAGAUGGACGGUCAAAUGUUUAGCACGGAUAUUUACGGCUGCACUUAUU